UACGUAGGGUGCAAGCGUUAUCCGGAAUUAUUGGGCGUAAAGAGCUCGUAGGCGGUUUGUCGCGUCUGCUGUGAAAACUGGGGGCUCAACCCCCAGCCUGCAGUGGGUACGGGCAGACUAGAGUGCGGUAGGGGAGAUUGGAAUUCCUGGUGUAGCGGUGGAAUGCGCAGAUAUCAGGAGGAACACCGAUGGCGAAGGCAGACCUCUGGGCCGUAACUGACGCUGAGGAGCGAAAGCAUGGGGAGCGAACAGG
rnacentral:rRNA from 1 species